rnacentral:rRNA from 1 species
UCCUUAGCCACACCACCACGCACACACCUGAUUUCAGAAGCUAAGCUGGGUUGGGCCUGGUCAGGACUUGGAUGGGAGGAA